rnacentral:rRNA from 1 species
UCCCUCUUAAUGCUGCAUCUAACGCAUUAUUCACUCCCCCUGGGGAGUACGACCGCAAGGUUGAAACUCAAAGGAAUUGACGGGGACCCGCACAAGCGGUGGAACAUGUGGUUUAAUUCUAAGCAACGCGAAAAACCUUACCAAAUCUUGACAUCCUUUGACCCUUCUAGAGAUAGAAGUUUCCCCUUCGGGGGACAAAGUGACAGGUGGUGCAUGGUUGUUC